CAGGAUCUAAUUGCAGCAAAGACAGCAAGACUAGUUGUACAUGCUGUUCCCACUAUGUGCAAUAAAUGUACCUGUUCAUCCGCUGGCUUAAACAAAAGCUGGUAAACAGACCCACUACUGAUGGAUGAAGAGAUUUAUCACAACAGGAUAAGAAAAAAGCCAAGAUGCCACUGGAAAAUGUGAUUUUUCUGAAGAACAAAGCUAACGUGGACCUUUUGACUGCAUUGUCACUGUUUAUAGAGCUGUGGGAUCCUGCUUGCUGCCAAAGUCUUCAUGUGUGAAUAUGCAAAGCUGGCUACUUGCAGGCUGGGCUCUGUCAGCAGUGAGGUGGCCAGAGCUGUUACUGUUGGAAGGGCAGGCUUGGUUUCA